CCUACGGGUGGCAGCAGUGAGGAAUAUUGGUCAAUGGCCGGAAGGCUGAACCAGCCAAGCCGCGUGAGGGAAUAAGGCCCUAUGGGUCGUAAACCUCUUUUGUCAGGGAGCAAAGGCGUCGACGAGUGCACGAAAGGAGAGUACCUGAAGUAAAAGCAUCGGUUAAAUCCGUGCCAGCAGCCGCGGUAAGACGGGGGAUGCGAGCGUUAUACGGAUUGAUUGGGUUUAAAGGGUGCGUAGGCGGAGUGUUAAGUCAGCGGUAAAAGUUCGGGGCUCAACCCCGUCGUGCCGUUGAAACUGGCAGCCUUGAGUGAGUGAGAAGUAAGCGGAAUGCGUGGUGUAGCGGUGAAAUGCAUAGAUAUCGCGCAGAACGCCGAUUGCGAAGGCAGCUUACCGGCGCUAAACUGACGCUGAGGCACGAAAGUGCGGGGAUCGAACAGGAUUAGAUACCCUUGUAGUC
rnacentral:rRNA from 1 species